UUUUUAUUUUUAUUUUAUUUUGAGAUAGAGUCUCACUAAGUUGCUGAAGCUGGCCUUGAACUUUUGAUUCUCCUGCCUCAGCCUCCAAAGUAGCUGGGGUUAUAGGUGUGCACCACACACCACAUCUGGUCCUAUAAUUUAUUUUGGCGCAAAGUCGGAAGUAAGAAUCUGUCAAGUAAGGUUCCUGAAGAUGACAUGCCCCACUCCAGCCUGACAACAGGUAACCAUGCUUAUUUCACAUGGCCAUGGGUUCCCUGGCUUCUCCAAUCUCCCCUUUGCAAUAAUUCUUCAUGUAAAGGAAUGAUUCUAAAUAUUUAAUUAGAAUUUAAUUAAAUAAAGUUAAGAGAAAUUGUAUGAUUUUGGCAGGGAUUUCUGUUUCAUUGUUUUUCAGAGAUUGCAAUCAUGGUCAAGUACCCUCUAAUCUCCUUGGGGUGAACACUGAUAAAAAUUCGGAAUCCACCACCUCAGUGACUGUAUUGAAGUCAGCCCCAGAGAAUGAGAACUGAAGUCAUCUGUGAAGGAAUUCUUCCAGUCUUCAAUCCUGUAUGAAGAGAGUCUUGUUGAGGAAUUUGGUUCCUAAGCCGACAGGAUGGAGAUUUUGGACUAAUUUUUC